rnacentral:rRNA from 1 species
CCUACGGGAGGCAGCAGUGGGGGAUAUUGCACAAUGGGGGAAACCCUGAUGCAGCGACGCCGCGUGUGGGAAGACGGUCCUCUGGAUUGUAAACCACUGUCCCCAGGGACGAAGAUGACGGUACCUGGGGAGGAAGCUCCGGCUAACUACGUGCCAGCAGCCGCGGUAAUACGUAGGGAGCGGGCGUUGUCCGGAAUUACUGGGGGAAAAGGGAGCGUAGGCGGGACUGCAAGUUGGGUGUCAAAUCUACCGGCUCAACCGGUAGCCGCACUCAAAACUGCAGUUCUUGAGUGAAGUAGAGGCAGGCGGAAUUCCUAGUGUAGCGGUGAAAUGCGUAGAUAUUAGGAGGAACACCAGUGGCGAAGGCGGCCUGCUGGGCUUUUACUGACGCUGAGGCUCGAAAGUGUGGGGAGCAAACAGGAUUAGAUACCCGAGUAGUC